UGGCGGACGGGUGAGUAACGCGUGGGGAACCUGCCCUGUACCGGGGGAUAGCAGCCGGAAACGGCUGAUAAUACCGCAUAAGCGCACGAAUGUCGCAUGACAUGGUGUGAAAAACUCCGGUGGUAUAGGAUGGACCCGCGUCUGAUUAGCCGGUUGGUGGGGUAAAAGCCUACCAAAGCGAAGAUCAGUAGCCGAGUUGAGAGACUGACCGGCCACAUUGGGACUGAGACACGGCCCAGACUCCUACGGGAGGCAGCAGCU
rnacentral:rRNA from 1 species